CAUGACUUGCUUUUACUUGACAAGCAUACUUUGUGAUGUGCUAUUGUGUGUAGCUGUGUAUUGUGCGUUUUAUAUGUUCUUUCUUGUAUGACUGUAGUAUGUUUCCUUGUCUUGACCUGCCAAGAGACUACAGAUGUGAAUUAUCUUAAAGCUAUAAUCUGGUACGGUGCAUCAAAUGGUGACAUUUAUAUUUUAAACUGUACAUGGUCCCUUUUAAAUAAAAUAAUAAAAUAAAAAAUAAAACAGCAUGAUGUUU